AUUGAGCGCUGGCGGCAGGCCUAACACAUGCAAGUCGAACGGUAGCACAGAGAGCUUGCUCUCGGGUGACGAGUGGCGGACGGGUGAGUAAUGUCUGGGAAACUGCCUGAUGGAGGGGGAUAACUACUGGAAACGGUAGCUAAUACCGCAUAACGUCGCAAGACCAAAGAGGGGGACCUUCGGGCCUCUUGCCAUCCGAUGUGCCCAGAUGGGAUUAGCUAGUAGGUGGGGUAAUGGCUCACCUAGGCGACGAUCCCUAGCUGGUCUGAGAGGAUGACCAGCCACACUGGAACUGAGACACGGUCCAGACUCCUACGGGAGGCAGCAGUGGGGAAUAUUGCACAAUGGGCGCAAGCCUGAUGCAGCCAUGCCGCGUGUAUGAAGAAGGCCUUCGGGUUGUAAAGUACUUUCAGCGGGGAGGAAGGUGUUGUGGUUAAUAACCGCAGCAAUUGACGUUACCCGCAGAAGAAGCACCGGCUAACUCCGUGCCAGCAGCCGCCGUAA
rnacentral:rRNA from 1 species